UACGUAGGGUGCAAGCGUUUAAUCGGAAUUACUGGGCGUAAAGCGUGCGCAGGCGGUUGUGCAAGACAGAUGUGAAAUCCCCGGGCUUAACCCUGGGAAUUGCAUUUGUGACUGCACGGCUAGAGUGUGUCAGAGGGGGGUAGAAUUCCACGUGUAGCAGUGAAAUGCGUAGAUAUGUGGAGGAAUACCGAUGGCGAAGGCAGCCCCCCUGGGAUAACACUGACGCUCAUGCACGAAAGCGUGGGGAGCAAACAGG
rnacentral:rRNA from 1 species